UCCAAAUUUCGCAAGCUCAGAUACCACAAAUUUCAUCGAAGCUGAUCGUCAACAAGAAUCUCUCAAUUUUAGUUUGUCCAGUUUUUUUUGUGAGUUUUGAAUUCAGGGGAGGAACAUUUAGAGGCAGAAGUUGAUAUAUUUUCCUUCGAAUUGAUUGAAGCUUAUCUCGUUCAAGUUAGGACCCCUAUGCUUAGAUUCAGAGUUGCAAGAAUCAUUGGAAAAGCUUAAAAUUUUCCUUCUCUAACUUCAUGUAAGCAUAUUCAACACUGUUUUUAUGCUUCAAUACUUGUAAAAAAUGAUGAUCCCAAAUAAUUUCUUUU